AUACGGAGGGUGCAAGCGUUGUUCGGAAUCACUGGGCGUAAAGGGCGCGCAGGCGGUUUGGUAAGUCAGAUGUGAAAGCCCACGGCUCAACCGGGGAAGUGCAUUUGAAACUGUCAGACUUGAGUACUAGAGGGGAAAGUGGAAUUCCCGGUGUAGAGGUGAAAUUCGUAGAUAUCGGGAGGAAUACCGGUGGCGAAGGCGACUUUCUGGCUAGAUACUGACGCUGAGGCGCGAAAGCGUGGGGAGCAAACAGGAUUAGAUACCCCAGUAGUCC
rnacentral:rRNA from 1 species